AACGAACGCUGGCGGCAGGCUUAACACAUGCAAGUCGAGCGCCCCGCAAGGGGAGCGGCAGACGGGUGAGUAACGCGUGGGAAUCUACCCAUCUCUACGGAAUAACGCAUGGAAACGUGUGCUAAUACCGUAUACGUCCUUCGGGAGAAAGAUUUAUAGGAGAUGGAUGAGCCCGCGUUGGAUUAGCUAGUCGGUGGGGUAAAGGCCUACCAAGGCGACGAUCCAGAGCUGGUCUGAGAGGAUGAUCAGCCACACUGGGACUGAGACACGGCCAAGACUCCUACGGGAGGCAGCAGUGGGGAAUAUUGGACAAUGGGCGCAAGCCUGAUCCAGCCAUGCCGCGUGAGUGAUGAAGGCCCUAGGGUUGUAAAGCUCUUUCACCGGUGAAGAUAAUGACGGUAACCGGAGAAGAAGCCCCGGCUAACUUCGUGCCAGCCGCCGCAGUAAAAC
rnacentral:rRNA from 1 species